rnacentral:rRNA from 1 species
UACGAAGGGGGCUAGCGUUGCUCGGAAUCACUGGGCGUAAAGCGCACGUAGGCGGCUUUGUAAGUCAGGGGUGAAAUCCUGGAGCUCAACUCCAGAACUGCCUUUGAUACUGAGAGGCUUGAGUCCGGGAGAGGUGAGUGGAACUGCGAGUGUAGAGGUGAAAUUCGUAGAUAUUCGCAAGAACACCAGUGGCGAAGGCGGCUCACUGGCCCGGUACUGACGCUGAGGUGCGAAAGCGUGGGGAGCAAACAGG